GACGAACGCUGGCGGCGUGCUUAACACAUGCAAGUCGAACGGAAAGGCCCUGCUUCUGUGGGGUGCUCGAGUGGCGAACGGGUGAGUAACACGUGAGUAACCUGCCCUUGACUUUGGGAUACUUCAGGAAACUGGGGCUAAUACCGGAUAGGAGCUCCUGCUGCAUGGUGGGGGUUGGAAAGUUUCGGCGGUUGGGGAUGGACUCGCGGCUUAUCAGCUUGUUGGUGGGGUAGUGGCUUACCAAGGCUUUGACGGGUAGCCGGCCUGAGAGGGUGACCGGCCACAUUGGGACUGAGAUACGGCCCAGACUCCUACGGGAGGCAGCAGUGGGGAAUAUUGCACAAUGGGCGGAAGCCUGAUGCAGCAACGCCGCGUGCGGGAUGACGGCCUUCGGGUUGUAAACCGCUUUCGCCUGUGACGAAGCGUGAGUGACGGUAAUGGGUAAAGAAGCACCGGCUAACUACGUG
rnacentral:rRNA from 1 species